AGAGUUUGAUCAUGGCUCAGGAUGAACGCUGGCGGCGUGCCUAAUACAUGCAAGUCGAACGAAGCACCUCGGUGCUUAGUGGCGAACGGGUGAGUAACACGUGGGUAACCUGCCCUCAAGACGAGGAUAACCGUUGGAAACGAUGGCUAAGACUGGAUAGGAACCGAGGAGGCAUCUCUUUGGUUUUAAAGGACCCGCAAGGGUACGCUUGAGGAGGGGCCUGCGGCGCAUUAGUUAGUUGGCGGGGUGAUGGCCCACCAAGACGAUGAUGCGUAGCCGGACUGAGAGGUUGAACGGCCACAUUGGGACUGAGAGACGGCCCAAACUCCUACGGGAGGCAGCAGUAGGGAAUUUUCGGCAAUGGGGGAAACCCUGACCGAGCAACGCCGCGUGAACGACGAAGUACUUCGGUAUGUAAAGUUCUUUUAAGAGGGAAGAAUGGCCCGUGGAAAAGCGGGCGUGACGGUACCUUUUGAAUAAGCCCCGGCUAACUAUGUGCCAGCAGCCGCGGUAAUACAUAGGGGGCAAGCGUUAUCCGGAAUUAUUGGGCGUAAAGGGUGCGUAGGUGGCCGCUUAAGUCUUUGGUGUAAGUUCAGCGCUCAACGCUGUGAUGCUAAAGAAACUGGGAGGCUUGAGUGUGGUAGAGGCAAGUGGAAUUCCAUGUGUAGCGNUAAAAUGCGU
rnacentral:rRNA from 1 species